rnacentral:tRNA from 1 species
AUUAUACUAGUGAAAUAUCACAUUACCUUGUCAAGGUAAAGUUGUGGGUUAAACCCCCACGUAUAUUA